rnacentral:sRNA from 1 species
UUUUAUUUCAACAUAAAACUAAAUAGAAGCCUUAUCACAAUCACUUUUACACCACCGUUGGUAGCACAUCUUAUCAAAGAAUGGUUGCUUCUGUAAUUAGCAAUUGCUUAAUGAAAAACAGUAGUUAUGUACGGUUUUUUGUGAACUGAGAGAAAUGGGUGAAAAAUCAACUGACACAAGAAGUUGCGAACUUCUUGGGGGGUGAAUUUUAGUGAUCCUCGGCACGAGAUUAUGACUCUUAAAGUUACUAUGAACAUAAUAGUGACACUAAUUUUCGUCUCCUAUUUUGAUAUUUUGUUUAAAUCUCGAACUCAGCGUUUUUCUUCUCAUCUUGUUUUCAGUUUCAUGUAAUCAAUCCUCCUCUUCUGUUCAACCUAGGUUAUUAACAUUGGUGAAGUUUCUUCUUUGGGAAGUUGCGGUGACUCUUUCUCCUUAGAAGGAGAUUUGAUAAGGAGGUUUGGGCUUCUCCUCCUCCUUUUAAUUGUUAGGAAGGCUCUUCUAGUAAUGGGGGCUAAUCUUUACUUAAUCGCUACUCAAGUUCAAGGGUGAUAAAAAAAAGGUAUAUUUCAAGUAGAAUCUAGUACCCUGAAGAGGAAACACAGAGAGAAGUUAUCUCAUAUUUGAGUUUCGAGUACCAGUGGGUAUGGGACGAGGUCAAUUCCUAUGCCUUCAGGUAUGUCUUGAUGCACCCUAAUAAUAGAACAUAAA